rnacentral:rRNA from 1 species
GGGUUGUGAGGUUAAGCGACUAAGCGUACACGGUGGAUGCCCUGGCAGUCAGAGGCGAUGAAGGACGUGCUAAUCUGCGAAAAGCGUCGGUAAGGUGAUAUGAACCGUUAUAACCGGCGAUGUCCGAAUGGGGAAACCCAGUGCAAUUCGUUGCACUAUCGUUAACUGAAUACAUAGGUUAACGAGGCGAACCGGGGGAACUGAAACAUCUAAGUACCCCGAGGAAAAGAAAUCAACCGAGAUUCCCCCAGUAGCGGCGAGCGAACGGGGAGCAGCCCAGAGUCUGAAUCAGCUUGUGUGUUAGUGGAACGGUCUGGAAAGUCCGACGGUACAGGGUGAUAGUCCCGUACACCAAAAUGCACAGGCUGUGAACUCGAAGAGUAGGGCGGGACACGUGGUAUCCUGUCUGAAUAUGGGGGGACCAUCCUCCAAGGCUAAAUACUCCUGACUGACCGAUAGUGAACCAGUACCGUGAGGGAAAGGCGAAAAGAACCCCGGCGAGGGGAGUGAAAAAGAACCUGAAACCGUGUACGUAAAAGCAGUGGGAGCACCUUCGAGUGUGACUGCGUACCUUUUGUAUAAUGGGUCAGCGACUUAUAUUCUGUAGCAAGGUUAACCGUAUAGGGGAGCCGCAGGGAAACCGAGUCUUAACUGGGCGUUAAGUUGCAGGGUAUAGACCCGAAACCCGGUGAUCUAGCCAUGGGCAGGUUGAAGGUUGGGUAACACUAACUGGAGGACCGAACCGACUAAUGUUGAAAAAUUAGCGGAUGACUUGUGGCUGGGGGUGAAAGGCCAAUCAAACCGGGAGAUAGCUGGUUCUCCCCGAAAGCUAUUUAGGUAGCGCCUCGUGAAUUCAUCUUCGGGGGUAGAGCACUGUUUCGGCUAGGGGGUCAUCCCGACUUACCAACCCGAUGCAAACUACGAAUACCGAAGAAUGUUAUCACGGGAGACACACGGCGGGUGCUAACGUCCGUCGUGAAGAGGGAAACAACCCAGACCGCCAGCUAAGGUCCCAAAGUCAUGGUUAAGUGGGAAACGAUGUGGGAAGGCACAGACAGCCAGGAUGUUGGCUUAGAAGCAGCCAUCAUUUAAAGAAAGCGUAAUAGCUCACUGGUCGAGUCGGCCUGCGCGGAAGAUGUAACGGGGCUAAACCAUGCACCGAAGCUGCGGCAGCGACACUAUGUGUUGUUGGGUAGGGGAGCGUUCUGUAAGCCUGCGAAGGUGACCUGUGAGGGUUGCUGGAGGUAUCAGAAGUGCGAAUGCUGACAUAAGUAACGAUAAAGCGGGUGAAAAGCCCGCUCGCCGGAAGACCAAGGGUUCCUGUCCAACGUUAAUCGGGGCAGGGUGAGUCGACCCCUAAGGCGAGGCCGAAAGGCGUAGUCGAUGGGAAACAGGUUAAUAUUCCUGUACUUGGUGUUACUGCGAAGGGGGGACGGAGAAGGCUAUGUUAGCCGGGCGACGGUUGUCCCGGUUUAAGCAUGUAGGCUGGUUAUCCAGGCAAAUCCGGAUAAUCAAGGCUGAGGUGUGAUGACGAGGCACUACGGUGCUGAAGUAACAAAUGCCCUGCUUCCAGGAAAAGCCUCUAAGCAUCAGGUAACAUUAAAUCGUACCCCAAACCGACACAGGUGGUCAGGUAGAGAAUACCAAGGCGCUUGAGAGAACUCGGGUGAAGGAACUAGGCAAAAUGGUGCCGUAACUUCGGGAGAAGGCACGCUGGUGUGUAGGUGAAGCCCCUGCGGGUGGAGCUGAGACCAGUCGAAGAUACCAGCUGGCUGCAACUGUUUAUUAAAAACACAGCACUGUGCAAACACGAAAGUGGACGUAUACGGUGUGACGCCUGCCCGGUGCCGGAAGGUUAAUUGAUGGGGUUAUCCGUAAGGAGAAGCUCUUGAUCGAAGCCCCGGUAAACGGCGGCCGUAACUAUAACGGUCCUAAGGUAGCGAAAUUCCUUGUCGGGUAAGUUCCGACCUGCACGAAUGGCGUAAUGAUGGCCAGGCUGUCUCCACCCGAGACUCAGUGAAAUUGAACUCGCUGUGAAGAUGCAGUGUACCCGCGGCAAGACGGAAAGACCCCGUGAACCUUUACUAUAGCUUGACACUGAACAUUGAGCCUUGAUGUGUAGGAUAGGUGGGAGGCUUUGAAGCGUGGACGCCAGUCUGCGUGGAGCCAACCUUGAAAUACCACCCUUUAAUGUUUGAUGUUCUAACGUUGGCCCCUGACCGGGGUUGCGGACAGUGUCUGGUGGGUAGUUUGACUGGGGCGGUCUCCUCCCAAAGCGUAACGGAGGAGCACGAAGGUUAGCUAAUCCUGGUCGGACAUCAGGAGGUUAGUGCAAUGGCAUAAGCUAGCUUGACUGCGAGCGUGACGGCGCGAGCAGGUGCGAAAGCAGGUCAUAGUGAUCCGGUGGUUCUGAAUGGAAGGGCCAUCGCUCAACGGAUAAAAGGUACUCCGGGGAUAACAGGCUGAUACCGCCCAAGAGUUCAUAUCGACGGCGGUGUUUGGCACCUCGAUGUCGGCUCAUCACAUCCUGGGGCUGAAGUAGGUCCCAAGGGUAUGGCUGUUCGCCAUUUAAAGUGGUACGCGAGCUGGGUUUAGAACGUCGUGAGACAGUUCGGUCCCUAUCUGCCGUGGGCGCUGGAGAAUUGAGGGGGGCUGCUUCUAGUACGAGAGGACCGGAGUGGACGCAUCACUGGUGUUCGGGUUGUCAUGCCAAUGGCACUGCCCGGUAGCUAAAUGCGGAAGAGAUAAGUGCUGAAAGCAUCUAAGCACGAAACUUGCCCCGAGAUGAGUUCUCCCUGAGACUUUAAGUCUCCUGAAGGAACGUUAAAGACGAUGACGUUGAUAGGCCGGGUGUGUAAGCGCAGCGAUGCGUUGAGCUAACCGGUACUAAUGAACCGUGAGGCUUAACCUUACAACGCCGAAG